rnacentral:rRNA from 1 species
UACGGAGGAUGCAAGCGUUCUCCGGAAUGAUUGGGCGUAAAGCGUCCGCAGGUGGCUAUGUAAGUCUGCUGUUAAAGAGUGAGGCUCAACCUCAUAAGAGCAGUGGAAACUACAUGGCUAGAGUGCGUUCGGGGCAGAGGGAAUUCCUGGUGUAGCGGUGAAAUGCGUAGAUAUCAGGAAGAACACCGGUGGCGAAAGCGCUCUGCUAGGCCGCAACUGACACUGAGGGACGAAAGCUAGGGGAGCGAAUGGG